CCCGCCCUUCGCCAGGAUGGUUCCGGAGCCGCGACGCGGCCGAGGACGAAAAGGGAAUGCGACGGACCGACCCAAUCAGGGGGUCUUCAUCGCAGCCGACCCCGCGACUGUAGAGCGGAGAGGAUCUCACCGCCUUCGACGACCCCGCCGCGCGGGGAAAUCGCAAGGAAAAGCCACUGGGAAACCGGGAAGGCGAGGGGAGGGCCGAUGACCCGCGAGCCAGGAGACCUGCCAUCCGCAGACCCGGACC
rfam:Aurantimonas sp. Leaf443 contig_1, whole genome shotgun sequence.